CGUUCCCCAAAAAAAGAAGUCCCGCCUGCCCAGUGACUUAUAAAGUUAAACGGCCGCGGUAUUCUGACCGUGCGAAGGUAGCGCAAUCACUUGUCUUUUAAAUGAAAACCCGUAUGAAUGGCACAACGAGGGCUAAGCUGUCUCCUUUUUCCCGCCCAUGAAAUUGAUCCCCCCGUGCAGAAACGGGGGUAAAAACGUAAGAAGAAAAGACCCUAUGAAGCUUUAGACAAAAGGCAGCCCACUUAAAAACUCAAAACUUAAUAAACAGUUAAUAACGGAGGCCCUCUGCCCUCCUGUCUUCGGUUGGGGCGACCACGGGGCAACAAAAACCCCCCAUGUGGAAUGAAAAUUCCCUUUCUAAAAUAAAAGCCCCAGCUCUAAAAAACAGAAAAUCUGACCCACAAGACCCGGCACAUCGCCCAUCAACGGAACGAGUUACUCUAGGGAUAACAGCGCAAUCCCCUUCUAGAGCCCAUAUCGACAAGGGGGUUUACGACCUCCAUGUUGGAUCAGGAUGUCCUAAUGGUGCAGCCGCUAUUAAGGGUUCGUUUGUUCAACGAUUAACAAUCCUACGUGAUCUGAGUUCAAACCGGGGGGAAA
rnacentral:rRNA from 1 species